GAUGAACGCUGGCGGCGUGCCUAAUACAUGCAAGUCGAACGAGGUGCUUGAGUAGCAAUACGAGAGUAUCCUAGUGGCGAACGGGUGAGUAACGCGUUGGUGACCUACCCCAAAGUGUGGGAUAACAGUUCGAAAGGACUGCUAAUACCGCAUGUGGUUAUCGGAUUGAGAAACUGAUAACUAAAGGAGAAAUUCGCUUUGGGAGGGACCUGCGUCCCAUCAGCCAGUUGGUGAGGUAAUGGCUCACCAAGGCUACGACGGGUAGGGGACCUGAGAGGGUGAACCCACACAAUGGAACUGAAACACGGUCCAUACUCCUACGGGAGGCAGCAGUGGGGAAUUUUGCGCAAUGGGGGAAACCCUGACGCAGCGACGCCGCGUGGAGGAUGAAGGUCUUCGGAUUGUAAACUCCUUUUGUCGGGGAAGAUAAUGACGGUACCCGAUGAAUAAGCCACGGCUAACUCUGUGCCAGCCGCCGCAGUAACAC
rnacentral:rRNA from 1 species